AUUAAAAUGACUUAGGAAAAGAUGUUUUAGAAGUGGUAUUUAAGCACAAAUUCCUGGUACAGAGAUUUGAACAUCAAAUUAUCUGUAACAUAUAUAAUUAUUUAUAUAUAUAUGCUAUGUUUGAAGAGAAUUGCUUAUGUGUGUACACGUAUGUGCACGCCCAUGGGCAUUGAACCCAGGGCCUUGUGCAUGCUGAGUACUCUGGAGCUGAGCUACAUCCCCAGCCUUGAAGGGAAAGAUUUCUGGUCACAAAGGAACUCGUAGGCACAAUAGCAGGAAAUAGUCAUUUUAUUUUUGACAAUUUAGUGUCUUAAAUACUCAGUAAAUACUACAUUUUGACAUUUGGAUAAAAUUAUUUUUUAAAUGGAGAUGGUUUUAAUUUUUAUGUAGAGUUUCCUUUUUACUAUGUUUGACCCUAAUGGGUUUUUAAGCUCUUUAAGGUAUGGCAGUUUACUUUAUUCAUCCAUAAAUGCUCAACAUAGUACCUAACAGUAAAUGUUUACCAAAUUUUUGAGCAGUUCAAAAAACUAAGCAGUUAUAACCCUGAUACAUUACCUUCGGACCAAUGACCACAACCAUGGGUCUCACAACCAGCAUAGAUUUCAGAGAAAUAAUUGAUCCUCCCCUACCUCCCAAAAUAGUCUGGAAACUCAUGUUUUAAGCUCCCCAACCCCAUUCCUCAUUUGCAAAUAAUGAAAUGGUAUAUAGAUUUUAAGUACCUUGGAAUUUUUUUAAUUCAUCCAGUCAGCCACUUUUCUUCCUAGCAUACUACUCAACAUGUGGAAUCCUUAUUAAUGGAGGGCAUUCGUUCUAACUGCCUUACAGCUGAAGGCUUUGUUUUAUAAGUUUGGCCUUCAUGGUUAACCCUACUUACAGGACACCUGCUUUUGCUUCUGAUUAAAAUGUUACUUUUAUAAGCAGUUUUUAUUGUGGAAAGUGCACAUAACAAAAUUUACCAUUUGACCAGUAAGCAGGCAGUUGGCUCAACAUACGUUUUUCUUGUGUGACAGUAGCAUCAUCCAUUUCCAGAAGGUUUUUUUUUUUUGUUUCUUUUCAUUUUCCCAAACUGACGCUUAAUAACUCCCCAUUUCCUACCUGUAGCAACCAUACCAGUCUACUUUUUAUAAAUUUAACCACUUUAGACACGUAAGUAUAAGUGGAAUAGUAUGAUAUUUGACCUUUUGUGACUGGUUCAAAGUGCUUUAUAGAAAUUGGUUUGGUUUAUACUUUGGUUUGAGUUAUCAGCUUCUAAAUAAAUUGGCCACAUACUCUAAAUUUUUUAAGCACUGUUGAAAUUUUUUCUGCUCUAGGGAGAUCAGUUUUCUUCAUAAUAGCAGUUCUGUGUUGAUGAAAUUGCUUUAUGGAUUCAAAGAAGGCAUUUAACAGUGCUUCGAAGAAGACCUUCACCGUGGCUCACGGCGUUCAGGGGACUCAGUCCACAGUCAGCUGGCUCGGAGGCAGAAGGGCACGGUGGAAGUAUCUGGCAGAGGAGAGCUGUUUGCGUCCUGGCGGCCAGGAACCAGAGAGUAAAGGGAGGAGCCGGGGAUGGAAGUACACACUUCAGGGUCACACCCCCCGUGAUCUACCUCUUCUGAUCAGCCCCCAUCUCCUAGUAGCACCUUUAACUAUGGGUGUAGUUCCUUUGUUACCCAGUCAACUUUGGAAAUUCCCACCUCUGAAAACUUGAGACUUUUAAGGGAUAUUCUAGGUUCAAACCGUAACAUUCCAUCCUAGGCCUGAAGAAAACUUGUGUGUAUAUCUUCAUGCAGAAUGCAUUUAGUCUAUCUCUGAGUGUUGCCACAGUUGUAAUAGUUCUGGCACUGCUGAAAUUUUCAAGUCAGGAGUCUUCUGUGGUCCUCAAGGCAAACUUAGCUGUGAGCCCCUAUAGAAAUCAGAAAGUUAAACACUUCUAACGUACGAUGGCAGAUGGUAAAGUCCCGUUUCAAAAGGGAGAAAUACAGGGAUAGGAAGGAGUCAGACUAAAGCAGGACCAAACCCCCGCAGAGUACGUAGUAAGUCUUGCAGGUUCCUGUCCAGCACCAGGUGCACGUUGUGAGAUGUGGACCCCACAGGGCUGGGGAAGCCCCCCUCCAGUCCACUACUGGUGCAGCCGUUGUGGUCCCUCCCUUGGGAUGGCUGCACUUACGGCCUUGGCUCUCUUCAGCAGACAGUGCACCUGCCUGGCUUGUCCAGCUUCCUGGGGUCUCCAGUGCCCUUCUGGAUUAACUUUCACAGUUUCCUGCGCUGCCCUCUCAGGCCUUCUGCAAUCUGGGUGGAAGCCUGCGUAGCCCCACAGCUCUUACAUUUGCACGCCCAUACCCAGCAGUCGUGGGUGACUCAGUGAUCUCCCUUGACCAACAGCUGGGCCUCCUUUGCGUGGCUGUAGAGGUUUCUUAGGUGCCUGGAUUCUGAGCACUGUAGAUCUCCAGGAGCCAGUCCCAUAGGCUGCCCUUCUGAGCAGGGUGCCCUGGGGGUGCUUGGCUCUUGAGGUUGUGAGGGCAAGGUCUUGCUGAUUCCUCAGAUCGCCUCGAGGCUUCUUCCUUCGUCCUGAUACAAAGUGCUUGGCUUAUUUUCAGUGUGAACCUUUUUAAUGACCAUGCCCUCCUUUGCCAAACUUUGUAUGAGUAUCCUUUCUGGGGAUACCUGUAGACUCUUCAAAUGGGUAUUUUGGCUCCUGAUUUUCACUGUAAGUCUGGCCAAAAGUAGCCAGAAGCACUCUGGCUGCAGCCGGAAGAUUCGGCUGCCUUGAAAUUUCCUCCACUAGAUUAGUCUGCCACCCUUAAUGUCAGUCUCCCACAAUAUCUCAGCACAUGGGCAAAAUGCAGACAAAUUUUUACCAGAAUGUAGCACAUGUGGCCUCUAGUGCAGCAGUCAGUGGAGUCCUUGUUUCUGACUGAAACCUUCUGAGCCUGGCCUUCACUCUACACAUUUCUAUUAGCAUUCUGGUUUUCAGAGCUUUGAUAGAAUUUCCCAUCAGACUUGCCUUAAAGCGCUCUCGGGCUUAGCUAGCAUCUCCAGAUUUUUCAAAUCUUCCUGCAAACUAGUUCCAAAGGCUUCUGAACCACAUGGUCAGGGAUGGACUUGCCUUCUGUCCACAUUUGGGAUCAGUAUUUAUGUUGCCACUUUCUUUUCACGGGGCCACAAACCUGACUUCCACAGUUUGAAAGGAGUGAUUGCUUUUGGCCCACAGUUUUUAGAAGGUUCAGCCCAUCGUCUGCCAGCUCCAAGGGGUGCCUGGAGCAGGAGUCUGCUCACACUGUAGUGGUCAGCAGGCAGCAAAGAGAACAGCCAGGGAGGCAAGCACGCCCUUCGAGGUCGUGCCCCGUGCUCCACCUCCUCCAGUUAGGCCUUGCCCUCUGGGAACACAUGUGGGUGUGACGUCAUCAUGAGUGAGUCCUCUCAUGAGUGUAGAGCCCCUGGGACCCAGUCACCAUCCAGGCCCCUUACCUGUGAGUGCGUGAGACCCUGGGGGACAUUCUAGAUCCAGACCAUGAAGUUCCUGUCACUGCGCCUGUCCAGAAUUCAGCACAUAAGCUUAAAAGGCAUCACAGGAACAUUCAGAAUGUGUCCUGGUACAGUUUUGCUGGAAAAAGCCUAUAGCCAUAGACUGAUGUUUUCUUAUUCAAAAAUUGCUUUUUUUUUAGUGUUGAAUUUCUUUUAUAUCUCUUUCACAUACACAUACUUUCCUUCCUUCCACCUUUGCCCUGUUGCUUCAUCUUUCAUCUUUUUCCUUUUCUUCCCUUGGUGAAGGGAAGCAACAGGGCUGUUGUGGUUCUAACCGGACAUCUUUACCUAAGAAGUACACAAACAGUAUGUUUCACAGUAAAAUUAGACUCACUGAAGAGUUGUUACUGUCAAGUCUAGAACACUUCGAAAUAGUCAUAAAUAGCCUUUUUUAUUCAGUGGACAAAAGAAGGCCAUACUUAACUGAUGAGCAAAUAAGCCUCCUAGUGAUUGUCCAGUGGGUAGCCAAACGUGUAUGAAAUAAACUUUAGUUAUAGAAGCGUAUCAGAGGCCUGUGGACACUGAAGGAAGAAAAUUUUGAUGUUCUGUGUAGAGGUAGUUUUGGAUACCGUUCUUAAAUGAUGACCAGGGUUUCAGUAUUACAUAAGGAAAAGGAUGUGGCUAAACUGAGGAGAAAGCAUGCAGAAAAGUGUUAGAUAUGACGUGAUGAAUGGAUAAUAGCAGAGUGUACAAAUCUACAGUAACAGAUCACUUAGAAACGGGUGAUGGGGCUGCAGAGCUCUACAGGGGCAGGGAGACCAUUGUUUCCAGGUCCAGUGGGCUGUUUAGCAUGCAGUAGUAAGACCUCAGUAAGUAUCUGUGUGGAUGGAGGGGUGGAUGAGUGAAUGAUGAGUGCAUGCAUGGAGUUUUCUGAGCAGAAGGAGCUUAGUUUACAAGCAUGCUUUUGAAAUAAAUCACUUAAGGUGAGUAGCUGCUUGAUUACACUGAGGCUGUUCUUAGGAAAAUUACAAUUUUAGUGAAUUAAAACAUGAAUAGCUAUUGCUUUCUCCCUCCCACUCCCUGUGCUGCUAUAUUUACCCUCAUCUUUCUUGAACAUGCAGUGUCAGGAAUUUGACAGAUGGUAAUUUAAUCCGGCUUUGCCAUAUUUCUGUCACUUAUCCAUAAUGUUUUGCUCAACAAAACACUCCUUUCGGGGGAGACUUGGAAGCGAAUACAGUAAGUCGCUGACCUACAAAUGCGUUCCAUGCCACGAGCAUGCUCAAAAGUCUGACUCAUUUGUGUCUGACAGAGUGAGUCUUACACGUUACAGUACACCCACGAGAGUUCACAACUCCAGUGUUUGUAAGUCAGGGACUGAAUGUACCCAAAAAAUCAGUGGACAUCUGACCAUCCGCAGGAGUCUGCAAAGCUUCAAAGUAGAUUAAGUUUGGAGACAAAUUAUUAUUAAGUUUUACAAUUCUCCAUCUUUUCUAGUAAGUGGAAGUAAUUUCUUAACUUACAGGUUUAAUAGAGUACCAUACAGUAUGUUAUGUAAUUUUUAGAUAAUUUGUCAUGCUGUGAGAAUUUUUCCUAGACGGGAAUUGCCUAAUUAUCUGGUGACGUAUUUACUCCUGUGGAAGGGAGAAGGCUUUGCUCUUCAGCCAGUCCCGUUGUUUCCCGGCUUAGACUGUACUUCUAACAUGGACAGUAGCAGUAGCCUAACUGCCUUUUCUGGCUGUUGGUAUGCUGCCUAGUUUGCCAUACGUACUACCGCCACAUUGAUCUUUAGAAGUACUUCUUCGACUUUGUUUCUCAAAAAGUUUCUUUGACUCCAUCAUUCAAGUCUUAUCUUUUCUAUUCAAUGGCUGUCACUGACUGAACACAUGCUAUGUGCCGGGCUUGUUGAAGUUGUCGCUUUCUGGUCCCACUGGUUGAAAUACUCUUUGCUUUUUUUGUUUUUGUUUUUCUUCCGGUAUCAGGAAUCGAACUCACGACCUUGCGCUUGCCAGGCAGGCACUUUGCUGCUGAGCUAAAUCCCCAGCCCCGAAAUACUCCUUUCUUGCCCAUCAUUCUAAUUUCUACAAGACCAGAACUGAUUCAGCUUUUAAGCACAUUUCUCAUGAUCACAUACAUCAUGAAUUAGGCCCAGUGCUCUUCUCCUUUGUCUUUCCUUAACAGAAUUAAAGUAUAUUUUUUCAUUACAGUUCAUUAUUAGUAAUUCUCUUACGGUACUUUCUACCUUGUGUUAUGGUUAUAUUGAUCCAUUGUCUCUUCUUCUUCUAUUGUAAGUCUUUUGAUCAUAGAUGUCUCUGAUUAUUAUAGUAUGUAGUCUGUUUCCUGGUUUAUUAAAUAUAUAUAGUACUUGAAUAAUUGGAUAUAUAUCAGUAAUCUUUAUGUUCAGGGUUUUGAGUGAAAUGACCACUUAUAUGUACUAAUUUAAUUUUAUGUUGCUAAAUGUUGAAGGCUAGAUAUCAUUAAUUAAUUUUUGAAAUGUCCUUACCUAAGCUAGACAUGGUAGUACACUCCCAGCACUCUAGGAGGCUGAGGCAGGGUGAUGGCAAGUUCGAUCUCAGCUUGGGCAAUUGAGCAAGAUCCUCUCUCAAAAUAAAAAGUGCUUGGGAUGUAAUUUAGUGUGAAUGCUGUGGGUUCAAUCCCCAGAACAGCAAAAAAAAAAAAAAAAAAA